GGGCGAACGCUGGCGGCGUGCCUAAUACAUGCAAGUCGAGCGGACAGAAGGGAGCUUGCUCCCGGAUGUUAGCGGCGGACGGGUGAGUAACACGUGGGUAACCUGCCUGUAAGACUGGGAUAACUCCGGGAAACCGGAGCUAAUACCGGAUAGUUCCUUGACCGCAUGGUUCAAGGAUGAAAGACGGUUUCGGCUGUCACUUACAGAUGGACCCGCGGCGCAUUAGCUAGUUGGUGAGGUACGGCUCACCAAGGCGACGAUGCGUAGCCGACCUGAGAGGGUGAUCGGCCACACUGGGACUGAGACACGGCCCAGACUCCUACGGGAGGCAGCAGUAGGGAAUCUUCCGCAAUGGACGAAAGUCUGACGGAGCAACGCCGCGUGAGUGAUGAAGGUUUUCGGAUCGUAAAGCUCUGUUGUUAGGGAAGAACAAGUGCAAGAGUAACUGCUUGCACCUUGACGGUACCUAACCAGAAAGCCACGGCUAACUACGUGCCAGCAGCCGCGGUAAUACGUAGGUGGCAAGCGUUGUCCGGAAUUAUUGGGCGUAAAGGGCUCGCAGGCGGUUUCUUAAGUCUGAUGUGAAAGCCCCCGGCUCAACCGGGGAGGKUCAUUGGAAACUGGGAAACUUGAGUGCAGAAGAGGAGAGUGGAAUUCCACGUGUAGCGGUGAAAUGCGUAGAGAUGUGGAGGAACACCAGUGGCGAAGGCGACUCUCUGGUCUGUAACUGACGCUGAGGAGCGAAAGCGUGGGGAGCGAACAGGAUUAGAUACCCCUGGUAGUCCACGCCGUAAACGAUGAGUGCUAAGUGUUAGSRGGUUUCCGCCCCUUAGUGCUGCAGCUAACGCAUUAAGCACUCCGCCUGGGGAGUACGGUCGCAAGACUGAAACUCAAAGGAAUUGACSGGGGCCCGCACAAGCGGUGGAGCAUGUGGUUUAAUUCGAAGCAACGCGAAGAACCUUACCAGGUCUUGACAUCCUCUGACAACCCUAGAGAUAGGGCUUUCCCUUCGGGGACAGAGUGACAGGUGGUGCAUGGUUGUCGUCAGCUCGUGUCGUGAGAUGUUGGGUUAAGUCCCGCAACGAGCGCAACCCUUGAUCUUAGUUGCCAGCAUUCAGUUGGGCACUCUAAGGUGACUGCCGGUGACAAACCGGAGGAAGGUGGGGAUGACGUCAAAUCAUCAUGCCCCUUAUGACCUGGGCUACACACGUGCUACAAUGGACAGAACAAAGGGCUGCGAGACCGCAAGGUUUAGCCAAUCCCACAAAUCUGUUCUCAGUUCGGAUCGCAGUCUGCAACUCGACUGCGUGAAGCUGGAAUCGCUAGUAAUCGCGGAUCAGCAUGCCGCGGUGAAUACGUUUCCGGGCCUUGUACACACCGCCCGUCACACCACGAGAGUUUGCAACACCCGAAGUCGGUGAGGUAACCUUUAUGGAGCCAGCCGCCGAAGGUGGGGCAGAUGAUGGG
rnacentral:rRNA from 1 species